UCCGGAGGGUGCAAGCGUUAUCCGGAUUCACUGGGGUUAAAGGGAGCGUAGGUGGCUUUGUAAGUCAGUGGUGAAAUAUUGCGGCUCAACCGCAAAACUGCCAUUGAUACUGCUUAGCUUGAAUCACGUCGAGGUGGAUGGAAUAAUACAUGUAGCGGUGAAAUGCUUAGAUAUGUAUUAGAACACCGAUUGCGAAGGCAGUUCACUAGGCGUGUAUUGACACUGAGGCUCGAAAGCGUGGGGAUCAAACAGG
rnacentral:rRNA from 1 species